GCAUAUCAAUAAGCGGAGGAAAAGAAACCAACAGGGAUUGCUCUAGUAACGGCGAGUGAAGCAGCAAUAGCUCAAAUUUGAAAUCUGGCGUCUUCGACGUCCGAGUUGUAAUUUGUAGAGGAUGCUUCUGAGUGGCCACCGACCUAAGUUCCUUGGAACAGGACGUCAUAGAGGGUGAGAAUCCCGUAUGCGGUCGGAAAGGCGCUCUAUACGUAGCUCCUUCGACGAGUCGAGUUGUUUGGGAAUGCAGCUCUAAAUGGGAGGUAAAUUUCUUCUAAAGCUAAAUAUUGGCCAGAGACCGAUAGCGCACAAGUAGAGUGAUCGAAAGAUGAAAAGCACUUUGGAAAGAGAGUUAAAAAGCACGUGAAAUUGUUAAAAGGGAAGGGAUUGCAACCAGACUUGCUCGCGGUGUUCCGCCGGUCUUCUGACCGGUCACUCGCCGCGUUGCAGGCCAGCAUCGUCUGGUGCCGCUGGAUAAGACUUGAGGAAUGUAGCUCCCUCGGGAGUGUUAUAGCCUCUUGUGAUGCAGCGAGCGCCGGGCGAGGUCCGCGCUUCGGCUAGGAUGCUGG
rnacentral:rRNA from 1 species